UAGACCGUCAGUUCUAACACAAAAGGUGCGUUAUCUAACGGCCCAUAUUAAAUAAGACGAAUUGAAUUAGUUUCACGGAGUUCUAACCACAAAUAAACAUUAUUCAAGUUUCCCCAAUUCAAUCAAUAGCUCCAAUAUCAGAAAAAGUUGCUACAAUUUACAUACUUCUUCGAUAUUGUGCCGAAUCCGUUGCAAAAUUUCUCGACGUUAGAGGGUUCAAAAUUUGGCGAUUUAAGAGUUCAAACUACAGCGAUUUUAAGGCUGGAAAUAUUAGCCUCCCUCAAUCUCAACUUCUCAACGCGGCUGUCCGGCUGUCCCAACUCGCUCCGGCCACCGCCCACUGCCGACACCUCCCUCAUUCUCUCAGGCGAUGCACACCGAUAAUAUCUGGUAAGUAUUUGCUUAUAAUUUUGGUAUUUUUAAUUCGAAAUAAUAAAUUAAGUGUGAGAAUUUAUAUGUUUAUUCUUGUUUCAAAUUUUCAAUUGCUU